GGGUGUUUCACUUCAGUAAUCAGACUGCUGUGUAAGGCAGACUGGGACACAUCAUUUCCAGUUUAUAGACAUACAUUCUCUAGAACUCCAAACAGGAUCCUCAAGCCAAUGCCCCCCACACUUUGCAGAAGCUCUCUCGCCCAGACGGAGAGAGUGCCAGCGGCUUUAUUUAUUAAAUAUGGCCUGAGAGAAGAAGCAACAUGGCUCGAGCCCUGCUGGUGCUGCUGCCAGUGACUGGUCUGUGGACUCUGGGCCGUGGAGGGACUGAGGGCGGCAGCAAUGGUGUGGAGGCGCGUAAUGGUGAGAGGGUUGAUUAUGUAGCAUGGCAGGGUGUAGAUGAUGAGGCAAUAGAGUACCACCGGCACUUUACUGACCUACUGAGACUUGCUGCAGGGAUAUGGAAGACAAUACCGAGUGAGGUAAAGAAGACAAUAUAGCCACAGAUAAACUGACUAAAAAUCCCUGUAUUCUAAAGACGCUGCCCCCUCUCAGUGAGGGCCAGCUUUCAGUGUGGUAGUUUGGAGAAACAAUGCAGUUUUGUUUUCCAAUGAGGUCGGA